CCCGCCACCUUCCCCUCGUUUUUCCAUUUCUCUACAAACAUAUGUAAAUCCCUCAAUUUCACUCUCCAUCUCUCAACCAGAAGCUGAAGUACUUCCACCGCCGGCAUCCUCUGUUGCUCUGAUCUGGGAACUCAAUAACCAUCCGAAUUUGAAAAAGAAUAGAGUCUAAACUGUUUACUGGAAUGCUGAAAAAUUGAAGAGAUAAUAAUGAUGAAGAAAAUGAAAGCAAGGUUCCAAGACAAGACAUUUACUGCUCUUCUUCAGCUAACCUUCCUCGUAAUUCAUCAAAAAAGGUAGUUGUCAACUUAGUUACAGCAUUUUGGAGAAGAAUGAGAUUUGCCAGCUGAAAAGGGGUAGAAAGUUCUGUAGAUUAUCAAUGUGGUUGAAGUGGAGUGGCGCCACGGCCAAGAUUUUUGUUGAUAGGGAAUAAAAUUCGAAUUUGAAGUAGAGAGGUGCAAUGGCCAAGUAAGAAAUUCUAAGGAAUUGGUUGAGAACAACUAUGAAAAGCAUAAUUGAGGGAACCUUGUGUUAGCCAAUACUUUAGAUUUGUUGACGAAUUGAGUAACAUGGUUGAUCAGAAGUUGAACUUGAGUAAUUGGCAUCUGGAGGUGAGUGAUGACUUGAACUAUGAAUUUUUUUUCCCAUAAAGAGCAUGAUUUGGAAAUUUAAUUCUUAAUUGAACUUCUAUGUUCGACAGAAUUGAGUUUUUCUGUAAAGAUAUAUGCAUCUGAUAUACUUUGGUAUGUUGGGACAAGUUUGAGAUUCGUAAGUUGAUACUUGAAAUAUGUACAAAGUAUGUCUUACGAGAUUGUUGAUAUGAUACGAACUUAUCCUAUUUGAGAUUACUAUAGUAAUUUUUUGCCUAUUUCAUUGAGUUACAUUAAGCUGAUGUUAACUGCAUAUUAACUUUUGGAUUGUGACUUGUGAUGAGAUUGGACUCCAAGGUGAGUCGCUAUAUAUAUGUCAUGGUAUAUUUAUCUGAA